rnacentral:rRNA from 1 species
AGUUAUCGUUUAUUUGAUAGUACCUUACUACAUGGAUAACCGUGGUAAUUCUAGAGCUAAUACAUGCUAAAAACCCCGACUUCGGAAGGGGUGUAUUUAUUAGAUAAAAAACCAACGCCCUUCGGGGCUCCUUGGUGAUUCAUAAUAACUCAACGAAUCGCAUGGCCUUGAGCCGGCGAUGGUUCAUUCAAAUUUCUGCCCUAUCAACUUUCGAUGGUAGGAUAGUGGCCUACCAUGGUAUCAACGGGUAACGGGGAAUUAGGGUUCGAUUCCGGAGAGGGAGCCUGAGAAACGGCUACCACAUCCAAGGAAGGCAGCAGGCGCGCAAAUUACCCAAUCCCGACACGGGGAGGUAGUGACAAUAAAUACUGAUACAGGGCUCUUUUGGGUCUUGUAAUUGGAAUGAGUACAAUUUAAAUCCCUUAACGAGGAACAAUUGGAGGGCAAGUCUGGUGCCAGCAGCCGCGGUAAUUCCAGCUCCAAUAGCGUAUAUUAAAGUUGUUGCAGUUAAAAAGCUCGUAGUUGAACCUUGGGCCUGGCUGGCCGGUCCGCCUCACCGCGUGUACUGGUCCGGCCGGGCCUUUCCUUCUGGGGAUCCGCAUGCCCUUCACUGGGUGUGCCGGGGAACCAGGACUUUUACUUUGAAAAAAUUAGAGUGUUCAAAGCAGGCCUUUGCUCGAAUACAUUAGCAUGGAAUAAUAGAAUAGGACGUGCGGUUCUAUUUUGUUGGUUUCUAGGACCGCCGUAAUGAUUAAUAGGGAUAGUCGGGGGUGUCAGUAUUCAAUUGUCAGAGGUGAAAUUCUUGGAUUUAUUGAAGACUAACUACUGCGAAAGCAUUCACCAAGGAUGUUUUCAUUAAUCAGUGAACGAAAGUUAGGGGGAUCGAAGACGAUCAGAUACCGUCGUAGUCUUAACCGUAAACUAUGCCCGACUAGGGAUCGGGCGAU